AAUAUGCACAGCUGUUCUCCACCCCGAUACUUUUGUGGCCUAGAUCGAAAUCCUGGCUUUGAGUAUUCAUGCUUUAAGCAUCUGAUAUUCGUAACGCACUCUUUCGAGGUGGUUUCCACUGGGAUGUACAUAUCAUUCUCAACUGCACUCCCUCUGGAAGCGAGUUGGAGCAUUCGGGUGCAUGCCAAAGCUGACACAUGCUAGCUGAUGGGGGCUCGGGGGCUCAACGUAUGACAACUUAUAACUCAGUGGCACAUUGAACACAGGGGCACAUUGAACACAGGCAAGGUCUCCUUCUCGGCGAAGCAAAAUGUAUGUGUUGUACACAACUUUCAUGGACGGCUUUGUCUUACACUUGACAUGGCAGCCCAGUGAGUGUAGCCUCGAGUCAAUGCUCCAGCGAGAUAAGUGUAGACCAUAAAACAGCUAGCACUAUUUUUCAUACCUUGAGAAACCGCAGGGUAGAGAGAGAGCAACGGAUUGAUAGUUCAUCCGGUUAUGGGCAGAGCAGAGACGGGAGGAGCGUAAACAUUCUUUCCAGUCCCAGUCCCAGUCUUAAUCUACGAUGGGGGAACCUUAUAGUAGUUACUACCAGAUUCAAGGACUGAGGGACCUUCAUCCAAGUACACUGUAGAUGUGUUGAUUAACACACUUUUGGGGCGUUGGGAUGACUGUUUAAGUUUUACCUACUUUAGGGUGCUACACAACACACCUAUGAAGAGUGCUGUUUAACACAUUUCAAGAGUGUUCAGGGGACACUGCUGUGGUGUGCUCUACUGCAUGUAAUGAAUGUAAAGCAACACCCUUAGUGUGCUAGCCUUACAUGCCAAAGCGUGCCUAUAUGCAUGGCAUGCAUUUAACAAUUACACAAUCAUCUAAUCAAUAAAAAUAUUAGCAGUAAUGAAACAUUAGAGUACACGUAUGUAUAAUGGUUGAUAAAACACAAGAAAAAAACAAUGUAACGUACAUAUAUAGUGAAACCUAAGCAGUAUAAUUAUACCAAGUUUUGUACAAAGUCACAUAAUUGAAGAAAUUUCUUUUCUGAAGCAGUCUGACGGAUACCAUGCUUGUCAUGGGCUCUUCAUGUUUGUCUCCACAUUCUUCAGCCUGGAUGAAUACAUUUAUAGAUAAUAAUUAGACAGAGAAAUAUUCAGUACGUGUAUACCGUAUUCACCCGAAUUACCGGGACACUCUAUUCUAAGGGACAAUUCGGACUUAGGUAAUUUUUUCACUCUAUAUUAAGGAACAACAGGAAAUGUAAAUAUUUUUAGACGUCCCGAUCUAAUUAGAACGAAAAAGAGCAUGCGCAAUGCGGGAGCGUGACUAGAAGGGGAGGGGCUGCUCGUUGCUUAGUGGAGAAAGCUCCUAGACACAAUACACCGCUGUUUCACAACAAUGAAAAUUCACCACUUAGUUUAUCAGGAUGUAGUACAUGAUUAUGACAAGAUAAUACAUUCCACCAAACCACAAACCAGUGGAAGUUGGAGGCUGUUUUAGAGCAUCCCAUUGUGGAGGGGGAUUCCUAAGUAUGUGAAAAAUGUGACUCUGCAGGAAGUCUAGAGCAUAUGCUGAUACCAGUUUCAUAAAAAUUAACGGAUCACAGCACGAGCUGUAUUGGCUUGUAGAAGUACAUGAUUUUGGACAACGUUUCAGUGCCUCCAGUAAAGAAGCGCUUCUGUCACUAGAAACGUUUUGCAAGACUAGUCUGAGGUGGUGGUCUGCACCGCGACAUUAGAGGGUGCGAUGUGCACGAAGUGCUGCUUCAUCAUGCACCUCAGUCUGUUUCGGUAUGACACCUUCAAAUUAUUAAAGUAAUUGUGAAUUGAUUCGGCUCCUUGUUCUCCCAUGAGUCCAAGUCCCACCUUCCACUCUCUCAGCCAUUCAACUACAUGUGAUUCCAGCAUGUGCAUCUACCGUUGCAUGAGGAAAUUGCUGCCGGUAGAAGUUCAUGAAGGUGGAGAUGUUUGUAUCUGUGGAUGAAAAAUGUGUGAACAUUUUUUGCUAUACAAUUUUAUAUUUACCUAGGCAAGUAAUGUCCUCAUCUGUAACAAUAAUCGUAAUGUAAUCGGCUUGUUAAACAGUGUGUAGCAGUUAUAAUAAAGCGUGAACACAACACUAUACUUUCUCUGCAGUUUUUCAGCUCUUUGGACGAUCGCAGGACGAUAGUUUGCUGCUGCCAGCACUAGUGCGUCACACAGCUCCCUCGUGUGCUUGGGCUAUAGAAAGUGGUUGUUUCAACGUAAGCUCUAUGUUGUUUGUACAGUUGAAAGUUAAAUUUACCCGAAGUGUUUGAUGGAUGUGAUUUCCACUGUAGUACGCCUGUCUUCUGACGUUAAAACCGUCUAAAGCUUGAUCUAGGGCUCUAACAAAAGGUCCAUCCUCCUUUUUGAACCCCUUUUCCACUAACUCAAUAUCCUUUUGUGUGCUUGCACGGCCUUCCCUUCAAGCUCAGAGCGGAGGUCUUGCAACUCAGGGUCUUCCCCCUCACGGAAGACAAGAAGAAUAGCCACCAGGUCAUUCACUCAUCUCAUGUAGUAUGGGCCACCCUUCUCGCGACUAUCCUCCUCCUCUCUGAUUGCCACGUCAAGCUCAUGACAGUCGUCUUCCAUCAAUUGGAAGAGGCGAUAAAAUAUCCCUAAAGUAAUGUGUAGUCCUGGAGGGCACACCUGCAUUUCGGAUUAUAAUUAUAAGCUUCCCUCCCGCUGCAAUAAAACUCUGGUGAUCUCCGAGGAUGCUGUCAGUGGUUCUGCUCUGGUGGGCAUUAGUGGGUGGGCUCUUCAGUUCUUCUGAUGUGAUUAAACACCACAAACAACAAUGCCGACCUAUUCAAAUUUUGUGCAAAUGAGUACCUCCACGUCUUGCUGGGAAGGCUGUCCACCUCAUCCUGGAAUCUCUCAAGCCCAAUCUUGAGGUUGGUAGCAUUAUCCGGAGCCUCGAAGAGCACAUGUGUUUUCCGUGGAAUUGGGAUGAUCUACAUUGCAAAUCUGGAAGGUCAUUUUGAAACUUCCUCCUCCUUUGUCUCCCCCGAGCUUAACCCAAAUCUUGUCAUCUGGAAUCCUCCCUUCGUGCCAUAAUCAUCAUUAAAGUUGAGCAUGUCGUCUAUCUUCUUCCACAGACUUGGAGUAAAGCACAUCGGUACAUUCUUUAUCUCCGUACAUUCUUUAUCUCCACAGUGUGCCUGCCAUCCUUCAGCGGGAAUGUGAAAGGCACUAGUUGAGAGCGUAGGUUGUCAACCCCUGCGAGCGAAGCAGCCUCUGCUCUCAUCUUCUUUUCAGAGGCAAUCUUGAUGUUUGGCCCCAACAUCCUUCAAAGAACAUUUUCAAUUAAAAAGAGCUUGUUGCUUGGAAUCAUCAGGACUGACUGUAUCCCCAGGCUUUGAGUCACUGAGAAUUCCACCCGAAAGCAUCCUGAUGUUCUUUUCAGCUCCUCAAUCAAUCAACUUCUCCUGAUCUUCCUUUCCUACCAUCUUCACUCACUUUUGUCCGAACGGCCAACAGCUCAGAACUCCGGCGUCUCAGGGUGGUUUGGCUAGCAGUCCCACUGGACACUCUAGAAUGUGAGAGUUCCGCAUACUGCGCUGGAUGAGCUGGGAUUGCAGUUUCUCCUCGAAUGGUGACAAGGGUCCUUCAUGUGUGCUCAAUAGGGACGAGGGGUGCUGGUUUGAAGGUCUGGGUCCCACACAAGCUGUCAA